UGGGGAAUAUUGCACAAUGGGGGAAACCCUGAUGCAGCGACGCCGCGUGAACGAAGAAGGUAUUCGUAUCGUAAAGUUCUGUCCUAUGGGAAGAUAAUGACAGUACUAUAGAAGAAAGCUCCGGCUAAAUACGUGCCAGCAGCCGCGGUAAUACGUAUGGAGCGAGCGUUGUCCGGAAUUAUUGGGCGUAAAGGGUACGCAGGCGGUUUAAUAAGUCGAAUGUUAAAGAUCGGGGCUCAACCCCGCAAAGCAUUGGAAACUGAUAAACUUGAGUAGUGGAGAGGAAAGUGGAAUUCCUAGUGUAGUGGUGAAAUACGUAGAUAUUAGGAGGAAUACCAGUAGCGAAGGCGACUUUCUGGACACAAACUGACGCUGAGGUACGAAAGCGUGGGGAGCAAACAGG
rnacentral:rRNA from 1 species